AGGCCAUUUUAAAGAGGGCUCAUGGGACUGUGAAAACAAGAGCUCUUACUACUGUGACCAAAAAUUGAAAUUCUCUAUAGGUUGCCAAAGCAUUCAAUGGUGCUAUGUUUUCCUGAGGAGGUAAAAGA
ensembl:snoRNA